rnacentral:tRNA from 1 species
GCCUGGGUGGCUCAGUCGGUUAAGCGUCCGACUUGGGCUCGGGUCAUGAUCUUUGUGGGUUCAAGCCCACAUUGGGUU